GAUGAACGCUGGCGGCGUGCCUAAUACAUGCAAGUCGAGCGAACGGACGAGAAGCUUGCUUCUCUGAUGUUAGCGGCGGACGGGUGAGUAACACGUGGAUAACCUAUCUAUAAGACUGGGAUAACUUCGGGAAACCGGCGCUAAUACCGGAUAAUAUUUUGUACCGCAUGGUUCAAAAGUGAAAGACGGUCUUGCUGUCACUUAUAGACGGAUCCGCGCUGCAUUAGCUAGUUGGUAAGGUAACGGCCUACCAAGGCAACGAUGCAUAGCCGACCUGGUAGGGGGGUCGGCCAAGCUGGAACGGAGACGCGGUCCAGACUCCUACGGGAGGCGGCAGAAGGGAAUCGUCCACAAUGGGCGAAAGCCUAACGGAGCAACGCCGCGUGGGUUAUGAAGGGCUUCGGAUCGUGAAACUCUGUUAUUAGGGAAGAACAUGUGUGUAAGUAACUGUGCACAUCUUGACGGUACCUAAUCAGAAAGCCACGGCUAACUACGUG
rnacentral:rRNA from 1 species